UAGGGAAUAUUGGUUAAUGUGCGAAAGCGCGAACCAGCAACGCCGCGUGUGCGAUGAAGGCCUUCGGGUCGUAAAGCACUUUUUGCAGGGAAGAGGAAGAACGGUACCUGCAGAAUAAGUCUCGGCUAACUACGUGCCAGCAGCCGCGGUAAAACGUAGGAGACGAGCGUUAUCCGGAUUUACUGUGCGUAAAGCGCGUGCAGGCGGCAUGGCAAGUUGGAUGUGAAAGCUCCCGUCUUAACUGGGAGAGGUCGUUCAAUACUGCCAGGCUUGAGAGUGGUAGAGGGAAGCGGAAUUCCGGGUGUAGUGGUGAAAUGCGUAGAUAUCCGGAGGAACACCAGUGGCGAAAGCGGCUUCCUGGCCCAUUUCUGACGCUCAGACGCGAAAGCUAGGGUAG
rnacentral:rRNA from 1 species